rnacentral:lncRNA from 1 species
GAGCGAUAGCAGCAGCUUGUCUGGACAGGACACAUAUGCGUGGUCAGGGUGACUGUGCUGGGGAUGUCUCAGCAGCAGAUCUCUGCAGGAAGCCAGAGCGGGGUAUCACCGAAUUGGAAGGAAGCAGAACUGGAGAAAAGGUCCAUUAGGAGGCUGUUGCAGCAUCCUGGGUGUGAGUUAACAGGAGAGAGAGGGAGGAAGGAGUCGAGGGUGACUCUUAUGUUCCUGGCUUGGGCAGCUUGCUGAGGAUGUUAUUUACUUGGAAGGAGGUUGAGUGGAAGGUACCAAGGUAAUUUUGAAUAUAUAUGUUAUGAGUUACCUGUGAGGCAUCUAAGUAGCAAUGCAUUCUACACAAUUGACUAUGUGGGUCUGGAGCUCAGAAUAAGCUGGCCUAGAAAUGUGUACAUGGGACUCCUCUGCACAUAGCUAUUAAUUGAAACAACAGGCAUGGAUAAGAUUCAUGGGGUGAGUGGGGAGAGUGGGGAGAGAAAAAUAGGGGGCUAGGACAGGACUCUAGGAGCCCACCAUUUAAGGGAAGGGCAGAGGGAGAGAAGCCUGAGAAGGAGAGUGGGAAGGAGCAGCAGAGAGAUGGGAAGAAAAGAGAUAUCAAGGAAGCCAAGAGAAGAAAUGUUCCAAGAUGGGAAUAGACAGCAGUGUCAGAGGGAACUGAGAGGUCAAAUAAUGUAUGGACUGAGUGUCCAUUGGAUUUAACAACAAAGUAAUUUUGGGUCACUUUCGUGAGAGCAGUUUCAGGGAAAUAGUGGGGUGGAAAUUAAAUGGAAGUGGGCAGCCCAUGGGCAGUCUGUAGACAUCUUCAAGAAGCUUAGCUGAGAAGAGGAGGUGAACGAGUAUAGUAGCUGGAGGUGUUUGGUUCACGAAAUUAAGGGGAAAUUGUCUUGACGAUGGGAGAAGUUUGUACAGUUGACUCUUGAACAACACGGGUGUGCACUUACAUGUGGAUUUUUUUCAGUAAAUACAGUACUCUAAAUGUGUUUUCUCUUCCUUGUGAUUUUCUUAAUAACAUUUUCUUUUUUUGUAGCUUAACUUGAUUAUAAGAAUAUGGUACAUAAUACACAUAACAUACAAAAUAUGUGUUAAUUGACUGCUUGUGUUAUCGGUAAUGCUCCUGGUCAACAAUAGGCUAUUAGUUGAGUUUUGGAGAAGUCAAAAAAGUUACAAGUGGAUUUUCGACUGCAGAUUCUGGGAGGGAGGGGCCAGUAUCCUAACCCCAUGUUGUCCAAAGAUC